UUUGAAGUGAUGGACUGGUGCAAACAUCCGGUCUUGCCAAGCGAACUCUUUUUACCCCUAAAAACGAAUGAUUUCAUCUCCUUUUUGGAAUGAAAUUUAAAAAUGGUUUCAAAUAUACUAACAGGAAAUAUACUAUUGAGGCCUCUGGAGAAUUUUCUCACAACUGGUCCGUCUUGGAAAAAAAAGAAGAAGAAAAAUGAACCAGGUUGGCCCUCCCUUGUCGACCCUCCGUCUCCUGGUGCCCCCUUUGCAGCUGACCUCUGCCGCCAUGUGGCAGCUGGCCAAGCAGAAAGAUGUGAUGAACUACCACAAACUCCAGCAGUUUGUGUACGCCGUGACCGAGGCGAUGCCCGAACUGAUGAACCACAAGCAGAGAGCCCAGCUCAUCCUGGGCCUCAGAGCGAGGUUGAUCCUGGAGCUGUGCAAAGGCUCUGUCCGAGGCACUGUGGACUCUCAGAUGAUCCAGGGCCACUUAGAGAGACUUCCAGUAACCCCAGAUAGCGAUGGCGAGGUGAAAACAGCAGAGUCCACUUUCAUUGCUCUGGUUCAGAGCCUCCUGAAAGAUCCAGCUGAGCGAGCUUACUUCUUUCAAGAAGUGUUCCCAGUAGAAUAUGGACAAAAGUACGAUGCAGCCCUACAUGUGUUACUGUGGGAGCUUCUCUCAAAACUAGAGAAGCUGCUCCCGGUGCCAGACCUCAAGCAGACGGCGGCUUGGCUGGGCUCGGCUUCCGCCGCUUUGGACGAGUGUGUCCAAUCCACGCCGGAAGAGCUGGCCUUAAUCUUUAAGCACUGCAAGGCUGCUGGACUUUUAAAAAUGCAACACGGUCCCUCAUCCACCAUCGGGAGCUGCAUCAUGUCCGCUCUGUCCAUCCCUCCCUCUCAAAAAGCAAACAUAACUCCGGGUCCGGAGUCGGUGCACAACUACGCCAACGUCAUCCACCCCGUGGCUCUCUCCGGGGCCGAGCAGUACAGCGUGGUGACGGUCUUCACCGAGAUGGAGGUCCAAGACACGGCAGCUGAAGUUCAGACGGAAUUCUAUGACGUGGAGGUGGCGCCCGCCGAGGACCCUGCGAGCGAGGCGUUAGAUGUGGCCAAAGCGUUGGAGUUGCUGACCAAAACGUUUGCGUCGAGGAAGGACGGUCUUGAAAACGACUCGGCGACGAACCGUCAGUUUGCGGCUCCGCAAGCCUUCGAGGGGGCGAAGGACGACGGGCAGCCGGGCACUGAAGCGAAGUGGUCUUCUGCUGAAGAGGACGUUACGCCCCACACUACUGAAGUUCCCGUCUGUGAAACACAACACUCGUCCAUUCCACUGAUGGAUGCAUCCGCCAGCUGUUGUGACUUAAAGAGCCUCCGAGCAGACCAACCAGUCGCCUCGUCUGUGAUCGCCGUCAAAGGAAGCGACAAAGACGAUUCCGAUGAGAUGACCUCCAUCAUCUUCACGUGCUCGCGGUGCCCCUUCCACCACUCGGACGACAACAGCCCGCCGCACUUCCACAUGCAGAGCGUUCGCGCCGAGGACUACCGCAAGCUCUCGGGAUCCAACUCGGCUCCGACUCCCGCCGACACCGAUGAAAUCUUUACCUCCAUUAAGCUUUUCCCAAAAGGAGACGCGGAGCAGUCCGGCGGUGCGACUGUUAACGACGGCUCUGGAAGUUCCUGCCAGGCCGCCAGCAGGCAAAAAGCUCUGACGUGCGAGACGUGCGGUAGGACGUUCACGCGCACGUCGGACGUGCGGCGCCACCAACUGACGCAUACGGGCGAGCGGCCCUUCCGCUGCUCGCAGUGCGAUUGCACCUUCCAGCACUCGUGGGACCUGGCCAAGCACCAGAGCAAGUGGCACGCCGCCGCCGUCUCCUUCGCCUGCUCCCAGUGCCGCGCGUCCUUCGCCAACCUGCGCGCGCUGACCGCCCACCACAAGCGCUGCCACUCGGACGGUAGCCGCCUGCCGCGCAUCUGCUCCAUCUGCAGCCGCAGCUUCGCCUCGGCCGCCGAGCUGCUGGAGCACAGGAAGUCGCACGUGGCCAAGCGCUACGUCUGCCUGCAGUGCGGCGACGGCUUCGACUCGCUGCUGGCGCGCUCGCUGCACCGGCAGGCGCAUCGGGUGAAGCGGCAGUUCAAGUGCACGCACUGCGAGAAGACGUACACCCGCCGAUCGGACGUGAAGAGGCACAUGUCCACCCACACGGGCGAGCGGCCUCACAAGUGCGGCCAGUGCGGCAAGCACUUCUCGCUGCGCUUCAUGCUGGUCAAGCACCUGCGCGUCCACACGGGCGAGCGACCCUUCCAGUGCUCGCAUUGCGCCAAGAGGUUCACCCUGGCGUCGGUGCUGGCCCGGCACGAGAGGAUGCACACGGGCGAGAAGCCCUUCCUGUGCUCGCAGUGCGGGAAGGCCUUCUUGUCGCAGGGCGAGCUCUCCAAACAUCACCGCUCGCAUGUGGACGAGCGACCCUUCGCCUGCUCGCAGUGUGACAAGCGCUUCAAGAGCAAGAAGACGCAGCAGGAGCACAUGGUCUCGCACAGCGGCGCCCGCCCUUACCCCUGCACCUACUGCGGCAAGGGCUUCGCGAAACCCUACGCGCUCACCCGACACCACCUCAUCCACACGGGCGAGAGGCCCUUCCCCUGCGGCUACUGCGACAAGUCCUUCCUCACCCUGAACGAGGCGCAGCUGCACCGCCGCGUCCACACGGGCGAGCGACCGUACGCCUGCGAUGCCUGCAAGCUCAAGUUCAAGAGCUCGUCCGAGCUGGCGUGGCACAAGCGCGGCCAUUCGGGCGCGAAGCCGGCCAAGCCCAAUUGCGGGCGCUGUCGGAAGACCUUCUCAUCCAAGGCCAAACUCAAGAAACACAUGGAAACGCACAUGGAGGAAACGCAGCCAGUGCAGCCUAAUCACUGAAAGACAGUAGACUAACGCAGCUUUUAUAUUCUCUUUUUUUUAUGAUGUGUUUAUUUUAUUUAACCUUUAUUUAUCCAGGUUAGGCAAUUGAGAGGAUUCUCGUUUGCAGUGCCGACCUGACAGCGGAGUAAAACAAAGCAAUGUAAAAGCAAUUACAAAUACUGUUGAUGAACACCAAACUGAACAGUAUCAUAUAGUUACUCCAUGAUGGUAAAUAAAAGAUUCAAAACCCGCUUAAAACCAAUGCCGCACCAUCACUCGCUAACUUUUCAAAUGAUGAUAUUGAUAAUGAUGAAAGAGAUUCGUUUUAUUAUCCGUUUCAGUCAGUUGGGGGGCGGAAAAUUGAAAGGAAGAUCAAUUAAAAGUCGUGCGGACUUUGGGAACCAAGAGGUUAUUAAAACUGCCGGAAUGGUGAAUGCUGGUGGUGGUCUCGGCAGUGAAUGUUUUAUAGAUAAACAUGAACCGCUGAAUUUCUGCGUGAGUGAAGAAAGGGCCAGUGUUGUCACAUCAAAUCAGGUGUCGGGCUCCUCGUCGAGGCGGCCGCACUUGCUGGCCGCAGCUAUUUUCGCAAAGGAGGAGGAGAAGGCUCUUAAAUGUCAAGCCGUGCGUGUCAGGCCUGCUGAGUACGUGCGGCGGAAAAACCCAUCUCGCACAUGAGACGUGGUGGUGAGCCAUAUAUUUUAAUUUUAUUUUUUGCUUAGAGCUGGUUUCUGAUUGGAAACCAUCAGAUUGAAUAUUGAUAACCUCAUUGGGAAUUCCCAAUACAUAAGAAUUUUUGGAUCACAUUUAUAUAACUGUCCGCCACGCCACAAGAGGGUGUGCACGAGUUGGUUCCUGUUUAGUCGGUUCCC